GUGUGUGCGCGAGGCGAGGAGCCUACCAUGCGCUUCCCCCCGUGCAGAUCGCGGGAGAGCCCAACCACGGGCGAGCUGGACCCGGCUCUGAUCAUUUAUAAUCCCGGACGCCUCCGCUCCGCCACUUGUCAAGGUGACAGGUCACCUCCACAAGAAUAUAAGGACCAUGAGGAUAAAGAUCUUUGUUAUCUUCAAAGGAAUAUCCUAAACAUCCAGAAUGGAGACUGGCACAAAGCAGGAUGCUGAGUACGCUUUACACCGAAGAACACCUGAGUUGCCUCGAAUAGUUAUUUUUCCAGAGGAGAUAUCUAAAUGGACAAUGCACGUGUGAGAUGUUCGACAUCGUUACUGGCUAUGGAAAUGCAUGCAGAUGAAAACCACAGUGAGAAAUCGCUGUACAUUCACUUUAUGGGCUAUGAUAUACAAAAAAGUGGAAAAAAAGUGUUGGCAUGGACGUGGAGAAACUGAAAUCCUGUGCA